rnacentral:lncRNA from 1 species
AAUAAUCCUAUUCUAUUUUAUGGCACAAAAGUAUUACUUUUAUGGCAUUAUUCUCCUAGAGAUAUCAUAUGACUAAUCAUCAUGGAACACUAUAAAGGAGAUCAGAAUUACAAGGAACUAAAAAAGCAUCAGGGCUCAACUGGAGAAAUUUUCAUCCAAAGCUUUCACUUGGGUUGCCAUAUAUAAUGCAGGGACCUAUUGAAGGAGUCAUUAUAGCAUGAGGACAACUUGAUACUUUACAGUGGAAGAGUAAGAUUGAAGAGAUUUGAGACUAUGUACCUGAACUCUGUCUUUGGAAUGCUUGAGUGUGAAACAUGCCUACAGAUUUCUCCCUUUGGAAGCUGUGGUGAGUACACAGA